rfam:Schistosoma mansoni strain Puerto Rico chromosome 4, complete genome
AUCCAGCUGACGAGUCCCAAAUAGGACGAAACGCGAUUUGUCCUGGAU